rnacentral:lncRNA from 1 species
CAAUAUCAGGGACAGUGAUGGUCUCUGCAGUGGUAUGAAAAUGCACAACAUACCCAGACCCUUUCUUUUCGCAGAUGGUCCCAAUCCAUUAACCAUCAUUAUCAAAGGCGUCAACUUUAUUGUCUGGAGAUAAAUUUUCAGCCGGAAAAGGAACCACUGGCGGUAAUCUCUGUCAGAGGUCCUGACCCAUCAUCUUCUAUCAAAUUCUUGUACUCCACAAGGCACGUAGUUUUGCUGAUCUUCAUGGCCACUGUUCCUUCAUAAUAGGAACCCAGGUAACCCUCCUCUCCGCUGCUCACUUCGAUCUCGUCUCCUAUCUUGAAUUUCAUUUUUCUUGAAAAUCUAGGGAAAUUUUUGGAUUUUUUUUUGGAUGAUUUGCU